AAUGGGAUAAUUGGGUCAUAUGGUAAUUCCAUUCCAAAUUUUCUAAGGACUCUCCAUACUGCUUUCCAUAGUAGUUGUACCAAUUUACAGUCCCACUAGCAAU
rnacentral:pre_miRNA from 1 species